AACGAACGCUGGCGGCAGGCCUAACACAUGCGAGUCGAGCGCGCCCUUCGGGGUCAGCGGCGGACGGGUGAGUAACGCGUGGGAACGUGCCCUUCUCUGCGGACUAGCCUCGGGAAACUGAGAGUAAUACCGCAUCCGCCCUUUGGGGGAAAGAUUUAUCGGAGAAGGGUCGGCCCGCGUUGGAUUAGGUAGUUGGUGGGGUAAUGGCCCACCACGCCGACGAUCCAUAGGUGGUUUGAGAGGGUGUUCAGCCACACUGGGAAGGAAACACGGCCCAAGCUUCCACGGGGGGCCGGAGGGGGGAAUUGUAAACAAGGGGGGGAACCCAGGGCCUGCCAAGCCGGGGAGGGGAUGAAGGGCUGAGGGGUGAAAAGCCCUUUAAGGUGGGAAGAUUAAGGCGGUCCCAGCAGAAGAAGCCCCCGCUAAACCCG
rnacentral:rRNA from 1 species